AUAAUACUAUGGAACAGGCGGUCGGCAUUUGCCGGCGUAGCCGGGCAACAGCAGUAGGUUAUUAGCCUGCGGGACCCUU
rnacentral:ncRNA from 2 species